UACGUAGGGAGCAAGCGUUGUCCGGAAUCAUUGGGCGUAAAGCGCGCGUAGGUGGCUUCGUAAGUCCGCUGUGAAAGUCAAAGGCUCAACCUUUGAAAGCCGGUGGAUACUGGUGAACUAGAGUGCGGUAGAGGGUGGCGGAACUCCGGGUGUAGCGGUGAAAUGCGUAGAUAUCCGGAAGAACACCGAUGGCGAAGGCAACCACCUGGGCCUGCACUGACGCUGAGGUACGAAAGCGUGGGGAGCAAACAGG
rnacentral:rRNA from 1 species